AGCGAACGCUGGCGGCAGGCCUAACACAUGCAAGUCGAACGAACCCUUCGGAGUUAGUGGCGGACGGGUGAGUAACACGUGGGAACGUGCCUUUUGGUUCGGAAUAACUCAGGGAAACUUGUGCUAAUACCGAAUGUGCCCUUCGGGGGAAAGAUUUAUCGCCAUUAGAGCGGCCCGCGUCUGAUUAGCUAGUUGGUGAGGUAACGGCUCACCAAGGCGACGAUCAGUAGCUGGUCUGAGAGGAUGACCAGCCACACUGGGACUGAGACACGGCCCAGACUCCUACGGGAGACAGCAGUGGGGAAUCUUGCGCAAUGGGCGAAAGCCUGACGCAGCCAUGCCGCGUGAAUGACGAAGGUCUUAGGAUUGUAAAAUUCUUUCACCGGGGACGAUAAUGACGGUACCCGGAGAAGAAGCCCCGGCUAACUUCGUG
rnacentral:rRNA from 1 species